UUAUUCAAAAAUAUGAAAGUAUACAUGAGUUGGCUUAAAAACAGGAAUCAAAAUUUAUGUCAAAAGAUAUUUGCGAGACCAAAACUUGCUAAAACAUUUUGUAGAGAAUAAAAAUAAAAUUUGAGAUAUUUAUAAGUUACAAAAAAAUUUAUUUAACUCUAAUUUUUAUUAAUAUAAAUUUAGAUUUUAAAUAUAUUUUAUCUAAGGGAUAUGAAUAUCCAAUAAAAAAUCAAGAUACCUAGCUAAUAACUUAUGUUUAAAUUUUGUAUCUUAUUCAAAAUCGUUUAAUGCACCCCAUAUUGAUAACUUGCUUAAUUCUUAUUUGAUAUCAUAGCUAAGCCUUGCCACAAUAAUGAGGAAUGUUCAGAUCAUAUAUGUAUCCAUCCUGAAGCCGUGCCAGAGUGCUUGUUUGAUAUAUUAUCAAGGGUAUUCUUUUACUUAAAUGGCAAAUCGGUUGGGACUUGCAUAUGUGGCAUGUGAAUGUGUGAUGAAGAAAAGUUAAAUAAAAAUAAAAAUAUUAUCUUGUUCCUACCUAUAUAUAAUGUUGGUGCUUUUAUGAUAAUAAUAUCUUAAUUAGGAAGUUUAAAAUAGUAACUAGUAAGUUUGUAUGUUUUAUUUUAUUUUGGUAGAAGUAAGUUUGUAUUUUAACUUGUUUUGCAUUUUAUAUUGAAUGUAUAACUUUUUAAUAAAUUAUUUUUGUUUUUUAAUAAAGAAUUACUAUUUUUAA
rnacentral:lncRNA from 1 species